AUGAAGAGUUAAGUUUUGGUUAAUGACGUUCAAUCAAUUCGAUUCGUAACGAUUGAACGGUGAAGAAUACAACUGAAGCGUCAUUUACAAAGACUGAUUUGGAGAUCAUUGACGAUGUGUCGACGCACAACACCAAUUCAAAACCGCCAUUAUUGGUUGGAGUUAGUUGACAGGAGCAGAUCUUGGAUGCGCCGAUGCACCUUACGAAACUAAACCAGGAGGAAGAUAAAGGCAAGGCGGGCCUAGCAUCUGUUACGAAAUCAGCCCAAAUAGCAUUUCUGAAACUUACAAAUUUGAAACUUUUGUUGAAGCCCAAUUUAAAAAACAAAGAAGUUAUCGUCGAAGCCCACAGAAGGCAAGAGAUUUUUAAAAAAAUAAAACACGUGUCAUGCGCAGGAGAGCUCAAUUUAUGACGUGGCGUCCUUGUUGGCAUAAGUAGGAGAGAAGCAAAGCCUAUUAUCUAACCUAUACUAAAAGGGUUAUAUGAGCAUCAGAGAGUGUGUCCACGUCAGAUUAAAAAAUCAGCCAAUUGGAGAACUUUUUGUAGCCACGUCAUCAUCUCCUUAAACCUACGCGUCUCUGUCUUUUGAGCAUCUAUUAUUGUCUACCGCUUCAGAUUCUCAAGCUCUAAAGUUUUAAAUCCCUCACUUUAUCUAUCUGAAUCACUCAAAAAAAUUAAUCACACAAAAGUUUUUUAAGGAGAGAAGCCAAUCUCUCUCUCUCAGAUCGGAGAAAAGAGCCAUGGCGGCUGCGUGGAACGGGAGUGAGUACUUGACAUCGACGCUGAGACAGGUAGACAAUCGUUCACGCGGCCGUCGAACGCUGAGACUAUUGAGCAAGACGAAGAAGAUCUGAGAUGGGCCGCCGUAGGAAGGCUACCGUCGCAGAGACAAGGGAGUCAUCCGAGCGUUCGCUAAUCUUGAAUUGGCAGCAGAGUUUGAAGAGUCAAAUGUUCCUCACUACAACUGAUUAGAGUUUGGAGAAUCAGUUGAAAGACAUGGUGAAGCGUGGAAAGAAUCUGAGAGUGAAGGAAGCUGAUUGAAGAUAUAGAUGAGUACGACGGUGACGACCCUCUCUUCCCAUGGAUAAAGUGUUUUAAAGGGGUGCAGGAGGCGUUUCCUCCGGGUUUCAUCGAUUGUCAUAAGAUUCCUGAAAUAGCUAUGCAAAGAGAUUGAUUGCUCGGAGAUUUAUUGACACCUCUGUCCAAAGUGACAUGAAGCUAUGGCCUUUCAAGAUCUUACCUGCUCCUGCCGAUAAACCAAUGAUCGUCGUCAACUACAGAGGCGAAUAGAAACAGUUCGCCGCCGAGGAGAUAUCUUCCAUGGUUCUCAUCAAUAUAAGUGAGCUCUAUUGAGAAUUACGAAUGCGGUGCGGAGCCACUUUUCCAGCUAUACAAGAUUCUACUGAAGGCACCUGGUGUAUAUGGAGCACGGUUCAGUGGUGCAGGCUUCAGGGGAUGUUGUGUAGCCUUUGUGGAUGCAGAGAAAGCUGAGGAAGCUACUUCAUAUGUGAAGGAUGAAUACGAAAAGGCCCAACCCGAGUUUGCGAAGAAACUGAGUGGAGGUAAACCUGUUCUCAUCUGUGAAGCAGGUGACUCUGCUCGCGUUCUCUGUUCAAACUCGAAGUUUUUUUCCCUCGAGUGCUCUGUUAUAGUUGUUGAUUCUUAUUUGUUCAUCCUUUUUUUUAUUCUCUCUGUGAGAUUCUCUGAUCUGUUUAGUCAAGAGAUAGAAAUGGCGCAUGCAUUGAUACGUUUUUAUUGUUACCAACAAUUUGACAAUACGUAAUGUAAAUCAUUUAUCUUUCUGUUU